rnacentral:rRNA from 1 species
CACAUGAAGUUGGAGUUGCUAGUAAUCGCGAAUCAGCAUGUCGCGGUGAAUACGUUCCCGGGCCUUGUACACACCGCCCGUCACACCAUGGGAGUUGGGAGCACCCGAAGCCGGUGAGUUGACCGAAAGGGACAGCCGUCGAAGGUGAGACCGAUGACUGGGGUGAAGUCGUAACAAGGUACC